GAUGUUUCCAAAUUUCAACUUUCAUCUUUCUCUGUGUAUUUAUCAGAAGAUCAAGAACCUGUAAGCCUGAGGCAGGGACUCUGAACAAUUUUGAGAAAAAAGCAUUAAUGAGCUGCAACCUUCAGUUAAUGGGUCCCUCCAAAAUGAUGGUGAGGGAACUGAAGCACCAUGGAUAUGAGCCCCACGUGGCUCACAGAGGACCCGGAGAGAAGAACUCAGCCUCUGGCCAGCAAGCUACACUCCGCCACAGCAGUUGGAAGGCCUCCUGCUUUCUGCAUUCAAUAAAAAUUGCCCAACAUGGGACCACUCAGAAAGUGUUUCAGGGACAUGUUAAAUAAGAAUCUCAUGUUAACUGUGAGAUUAAUGAGUAGUAUUGUUAUUGUGGAA
rnacentral:lncRNA from 1 species